UACGAAGGGGGCUAGCGUUGCUCGGAAUCACUGGGCGUAAAGCGCACGUAGGCGGAUUGUUAAGUCGGGGGUGAAAUCCUGGAGCUCAACUCCAGAACUGCCUUCGAUACUGGCGAUCUUGAGUCCGGGAGAGGUGAGUGGAACUGCGAGUGUAGAGGUGAAAUUCGUAGAUAUUCGCAAGAACACCAGUGGCGAAGGCGGCUCACUGGCCCGGUACUGACGCUGAGGCACGAAAGCGUGGGGAGCAAACAGG
rnacentral:rRNA from 1 species